UCGCCAGCAGGCGGGAGAUGUACGGAAUCAGCGGCAGGUUCAGUACCAGCAACACCAGGUUGCCGAAAUACAUCGAGAUAAUCACCGACCAGAACACAUCCGGGUUAUCCACGAACAGCCGUGGCCC
rnacentral:ncRNA from 1 species